AUAGUGGUAUUAUAAUGUUUAAUAUGCUUUCUUUCCAUGUAAGAGAUCUUUUAUGUAAAGUCACUAUA
rnacentral:tRNA from 1 species